rnacentral:rRNA from 1 species
AGAGUUUGAUCCUGGCUCAGGACGAACGCUGGCGGCGUGCUUAACACAUGCAAGUCGAACGAUGAAGCCGCUUCGGUGGUGGAUUAGUGGCGAACGGGUGAGUAACACGUGGGCAAUCUGCCCUGCACUCUGGGACAAGCCCUGGAAACGGGGUCUAAUACCGGAUAUGACACGGGAUCGCAUGGUCUCCGUGUGGAAAGCUCCGGCGGUGCAGGAUGAGCCCGCGGCCUAUCAGCUUGUUGGUGGGGUGAUGGCCUACCAAGGCGACGACGGGUAGCCGGCCUGAGAGGGCGACCGGCCACACUGGGACUGAGACACGGCCCAGACUCCUACGGGAGGCAGCAGUGGGGAAUAUUGCACAAUGGGCGCAAGCCUGAUGCAGCGACGCCGCGUGAGGGAUGACGGCCUUCGGGUUGUAAACCUCUUUCAGCAGGGAAGAAGCGAGAGUGACGGUACCUGCAGAAGAAGCACCGGCUAACUACGUGCCAGCAGCCGCGGUAAUACGUAGGGUGCGAGCGUUGUCCGGAAUUAUUGGGCGUAAAGAGCUCGUAGGCGGCUUGUCGCGUCGGAUGUGAAAGCCCGGGGCUUAACCCCGGGUCUGCAUUCGAUACGGGCAGGCUAGAGUUCGGCAGGGGAGAUUGGAAUUCCUGGUGUAGCGGUGAAAUGCGCAGAUAUCAGGAGGAACACCGGUGGCGAAGGCGGAUCUCUGGGCCGAUACUGACGCUGAGGAGCGAAAGCGUGGGGAGCGAACAGGAUUAGAUACCCUGGUAGUCCACGCCGUAAACGUUGGGCACUAGGUGUGGGCGGCAUUCCACGUCGUCCGUGCCGCAGCUAACGCAUUAAGUGCCCCGCCUGGGGAGUACGGAAGCUUGGAAU